UUCCUUCGGGAAGCGAGCGUACACAGGUGCUGCAUGGCUGUCGUCAGCUCGUGUCGUGAGAUGUUGGGUUAAGUCCCAUAACGAGCGCAACCCCUAUCAUUAGUUGCCAUCAGGUAAGCUGGGGACUCUAAAGGGACUGCCGGUGUUAAACCGGAGGAAGGUGGGGAUGACGUCAAGUCCUCAUGGCCUUUAUGACCAGGGCUACACACGUACUACAAUGGCCGAUACAAAGGGCAGCGACACUGCGAGGUGAAGCCAAUCCCGUAAAAUCGGUCUCAGUCCGGAUUGGAGUCUGCAACUCGACUCCAUGAAGUUGGAAUCGCUAGUAAUCGUGGAUCAGCAUGCCACGGUGAAUACGUUCCCGGGCCUC
rnacentral:rRNA from 1 species